rnacentral:rRNA from 1 species
UACGUAGGGGGCAAGCGUUGUCCGGAUUUAUUGGGCGUAAAGAGCGUGUAGGCGGCCUGGAAGGUCAGCUGUGAAAACUCGAGGCUCAACCUCGAGACGUCGGUUGAAACCACUUGGCUAGAGUCCGGAAGAGGAGUGUGGAAUUCCCGGUGUAGCGGUGAAAUGCGCAGAUAUCGGGAAGAACACCCGUGGCGAAGGCGGCUCUCUGGGACGGUACUGACGCUGAGGAGCGAAAGCGUGGGGAGCAAACAGGG